GAUCACCUUGCCAGCCUCAGUAAAUGCUAUAUUGAUGUGUUUUAGGAAAUCCACAUUGAACAAAGAUUUAUACUAAUUGCUGAAGACAAGAAGGAAUAAGAUAUGAUUGCUAUACAUGAUAUAUUUUGGGAAGAAAUUGGCAAAGAAGAUAUCAUGUGCUCUUGAAGAAUGAAGUUUUUCAGCUGCCAGCACUGUGCCCUCCCCCAGCUCUGUGCAGGGCCAGUAUCUCCCACAGGGCAGCCUCACGGCCUUCACUGCCUCUCUCCAGCCAGCUCCAGCACUACAGGACAGCGAUUGGAAUUAAAUGUUACGUGGAAAAAAGCCAACAUGGCAUUCUGUUAAGAAGACAGACAACCUAAGUGAUGUCUAUCCUGCUUCAAAGAAAAAACUCAGGAGGCUGUACAUUCAUUUAGAGCAGAGUAGACGAAACCUCCUACGUUCUGGCUUGGGAACCAGGAGGAAUCACUGACUGAGAUUUGCCAACCAGACCUCUAUGGUAAGUUUGAAUUGAAAUGUGUGGGUUGAUUUUCAUUAUUCAUUAUUUCCUUUGAUCUUGGGGAGGGGUAGAAAUUAACAAAUUUUAAUGCAGUG